GACGAACGCUGGCGGCGUGCUUAACACAUGCAAGUCGAACGGAAAGGCCCUGCUUUUGUGGGGUGCUCGAGUGGCGAACGGGUGAGUAACACGUGAGUAACCUGCCCUUGACUUUGGGAUAACUCCAGGAAACUGGGGCUAAUACCGGAUAGGAGCUCCUGCUGCAUGGUGGGGGUUGGAAAGUUUCGGCGGUUGGGGAUGGACUCGCGGCUUUUCAGCUUGUUGGUGGGGUAGUGGCUUACCAAGGCUUUGACGGGUAGCCGGCCUGAGAGGGUGACCGGCCCCAUUGGGACUGAGAUACUGCCCAGACUCCUACGGGGGGCAGAAGUGGGGAAUAUUGCACAAUGGGCGGAAGCCUGAUGCAGCAACGCCGCGUGCGGGAUGACGGCCUUCGGGUUGUAAACCGCUUUCGCCUGUGACGAAGCGUGAGUGACGGUAAUGGGUAAAGAAGCACCGGCUAACUACGUG
rnacentral:rRNA from 1 species